CCCACCGACCCUGUGGGGCUGGACCCUACAUCUGGCGCUCCAACAUGGGGCUCUCCCUCACUAUGUGAAGUUGCACCCUGAGUGCGGGAUUCAGCGGAGGAUUUCACCAAGAGAUUACUGAGGACUGUGAUCAAUAAGCUUGGUGGUGUUAAUUUUACAGCCACUUUCUUCAGGAGUUAACCCUAGAGGACUUUCACAGAAUGCUCUCUGCCAAACGGACGUGAGUCAUUAUCCUGCUUUUGGAAAAGGACUACAGCCUGUGUGGGUCCCCUCCUGACAAUUAAAAUUCCACCGUAACUCCAAAGAUGAAAUGCUCCCAGAAACAAAAGGCAAAGACCCCUCGGAAACCAAAGAGCAACUUUCGCCGCCUGACACAUAAACUUCACGACCUCCACAUUGAGACAAAAUCUCGCCGUGUGAACUACAACACCGCUCGUUCAACUCCACCAACAUGGGGUCAUAUAAAGGUUUUAUUUCAUCAAACAGGAAAUUUUUUAAAAGAAAAAGGAAUCCCAAAAAUGACCAGUCAUAUAAUUCUGGCUGCCUUUAUGGUAGUCAGUGCAGCAGUAAGUAUACCACCAG